rnacentral:rRNA from 1 species
UACGUAGGGUGCGAGCGUUGUCCGGAAUUAUUGGGCGUAAAGGGCUCGUAGGCGGUCUGUUGCGUCAGGAGUGAAAACUCGGGGCUUAACCCCGAGCCUGCUUCUGAUACGGGCAGACUAGAGGUAUGCAGGGGAGAACGGAAUUCCUGGUGUAGCGGUGAAAUGCGUAGAUAUCAGGAGGAACACCGGUGGCGAAGGCGGCUAUCUGGACAGAAACUGACGCUGAGGCGCGAAAGCUAGGGGAGCAAACAGG